GUAGCUGAGAGUCCUCCCCAACGUGCAGUCUGAGUAACAGGUCUUACUGAAUCUGCCAGCAUCACUGCAGGACUUCUAGGCUUUCAUCAAAGCAUGUUUUGGUUCAUAAAUAUAAAUGUUAACUGGAGUCCAGUCCUGGACCUGGAGGACCCCUGUCCUGCAGGGUUUCUGUGCUCUUCAGCAGCUCUUCAGGUUCUGCAGAAUAAAACCUUUAUUAAAGCCUGUUCCUGUCCUCAGAGCAGCUCUGCGAGCAGCAGGACUCCUCGCCUUCCUUUGCUUCGCUCAGAUAAUCAGACGUGAGUCUGAAACCAGCUCUCGACCUCUCAGCUCGAGUGGAGGAGCGGCGGGUUCCGACCCGACUUCCUCCAUCAGGUUUUCUUUCUGCGGUAAUGAUGUAAUUAAAGCAUCACCUCGUCUGUGAGGAGCCACGGCCUCCUAACUGGGUUAACCUGCAACAUGAGAGGAAGAGGAGGAGGGGAAACGCCUCGUCUCCUGGAGGAGCAGCCAUGAAGACAGGAGCAACUUAUUCCAUCACAGAGAGCUUCAGCUUCCAGCCUCGCCCUAAAAACCAGCUGCACCUUUUUCAUUUGUUGCCAUGGAAACCCAGGUCCCAGGUGGCCGAGGGAUGUUUUCAUCACCGUCUGUAAAUCGUUAAGACGGCGGUCUCUCACUCAUCACAACAGAUGACCUCUUCCUCCUGAGUCAAGUCCACACCAGUGAUCCCAACCAGGGGUACCCUUGAUGUUCGCGAGCGUUUUACAGGGGUGCCGAUGGACGUGUGACCUGUCCAGUGGACCCCUCCCCCAGUGACCCCAUGACCCUGCAAGGGAUGGAUGACUGAGGCAGCCAUCAUGAACCGGACUGACUCAAGAAGUUAAUUAGA